GUUUGUAAUUUUUCUUGUGGUAAUGGUAUCUGUGUUGCUGAUAACUUGUGUCGAUGCUUUGAUGGUUGGACUGGAGAUCAGUGUGAUGAAGUAUUAUGUAGUCCAGUAUGUGGUAAUGGAUAUUGUGUACCAACUAACAGUUGUGUAUGUAAUCCUGGUUGGACUGGAGACAGGUGUAGAACAGAUAUAAAUGAAUGUAGUCAUAAUGUGUGUAAUCAAAUAUGUAUCAAUACUCAAGGAUCAUAUACUUGUGAUUGUAACAUUG